rnacentral:rRNA from 1 species
UACCAAGGGCGAUGAUGCAUAGCCCGAGUUGAGAGACUGAUCGGCCACAUUGGGGACUGAGACACGGCCCAAACUCCUACGGGAGGCAGCAGUAGGGAAUCUUCCACAAUGGACGCAAGUCUGAUGGAGCAAACGCCGCGUGAGUGAAGAAGGGUUUCGGCUCGUAAAGCUCUGUUGUUGAUGAAGAAGGACAGGGGUAGUAACUGACCCUCUGUUUGACGGUAAUCAAUUUAGAAAGUCACGGGCUAACUACGUGCUAGCAGCCGCGGUAAAU